UACGGGGGGGGCAAGCGUUGUCCGGAAUCAUUGGGCGUAAAGGGUGCGUAGGCGGAAUGGUAAGUCAGGAGUGAAAGACUCGCGCUUAACGCGGGUUCUGCUUUUGAUACUGUCAUUCUUGAGUGCGGAAGAGGGAAGCGGAAUUCCCGGUGUAGCGGUGAAAUGCGUAGAUAUCGGGAAGAACACCGGUAGCGAAAGCGGCUUCCUAGUCCGUAACUGACGCUGAGGCACGAAAGCGUGGGUAGCAAACAGG
rnacentral:rRNA from 1 species